rnacentral:rRNA from 1 species
UGGGGAAUAUUGGACAAUGGGGGAAACCCUGAUCCAGCGAUGCCGCGUGAGUGAAGAAGGCCUUCGGGUUGUAAAGCUCUUUUACACGUGACGAUGAUGACGGUAACGUGAGAAUAAGCCCCGGCUAACUCUGUGCCAGCAGCCGCGGUAAUACAGAGGGGGCUAGCGUUGUUCGGAAUGACUGGGCGUAAAGGGCGCGUAGGUGGCGCAACAAGUCAGAUGUGAAAGGCCUAGGCUUAACCUGGGGAUGGCAUUUGAGACUGUUGGGCUUGAGUCCGGGAGAGGAUAGCGGAAUUCCUAGUGUAGAGGUGAAAUUCGUAGAUAUUAGGAAGAACACCGGUGGCGAAGGCGGCUAUCUGGAACGGAACUGACACUGAGGCGCGAAAGCGUGGGGAGCAAACAGG